GAAUAUUUCCAAGGAGCUCAGUUUCCUAACAAUGCCAUUCUGUUAUUGACUUGCUUCAUGACUCUGUUACAGUAUUUUUACUGGAUUUCUUUCUCGUUUUUUGAAGUAUGCUUUGUGGUUACACUCAGAUCAGAAACCGAAGCCCAGAGGAGACAAGUGCUUUCCCAAUUGUAGAUAUACAGACUUGGGCAGGACAGGCAAACAGAUGCCUGGAUGUCUGUAGCAAAUACAAAUCUUGGCUACUAUUAAAUAUAUCAUCAGCAAAAUGAGCAAAUAUGUUAUUCUGAACAAAUGACUUUUUAGAUGAUACAUUUUAUUACAAUGUUCAAAGGGUUUUAUUUACUUCAGAAUCAAAGCAGUAGUCUACUCUACUUUUUAUAUCACUUUUACAUCUUGAUAGACCUAUGCCUUUGUGAGUUAAUACUGAACAAAAUUAAAGCUAAAAUAACAUUACAAAAAUCCUGGAUUUCAUAUAGAAUUUCUGUACGUGACCACUUCGAUAACCUUAGAUGAUGUAGCAGUUAACAUUUUGUUUAUGUGGGCUGUCAGUACCCCUGAUAUCUCUGUGUAAUAUAUAGAUGGAGACAGAGAAAACCAGGAACUAAAUGGGAACAGGGGAAUGAACUCGCAUGUGACUAUUACAUCAUUGAGAAGUAUCACCAGGCUCUCUCCUCAUGGUAUUACUAAGUAACAGCUCGAAUUUUUGUACAUUUGGGACAGGGCUGAGUCUAAAAAUGGUAACGUAAGGUAUUGCGGAAGUUAAAUCAUUUUGGAGGGAAAGAACCUUUUUAUUUUGUUUUUCUCAGAACAGUGAUGGCCAGAAUAGUUCUUCAGGGUGAGCUAGGCUGCAGUGCACAGCAGGAAGCACUUAAGGUGCUGGGCUUCAUAUACGGCCCUAUGAGUAAUCUGGCAUCACAGCAGAGCCAAAAACAGGGAAAGUCCCCCAAGUCAACAGACACAGCCGUGUUACUGUAAGGACUUGUGGGGCACAGCUCUGGGUUUUAUUCUCAGACCUGUCACCCACAUGUGACUAUGGACAAAUUCUCUGCAAUGCCAUUAAUAACAUAACUGAGUAAUAGAGUAUCAGAUGUUCUACUAUCAGCGUGGUCAACACGCUAUCCAAACUGCAUGGAGCAGAAGUCAGUAUUCAUAGAUAAUAAGGAUUUUGAAAAAUAUGUACUUGCUGUGUAUGUAUUGUUCAAAAAAUUACCACUAUAGCUGCUUUCAAGUAAGUAGAAAUUUCACUGAAUAUAUUGGUGCAUACAGAAUAAUGUACAUACUUUUAUCAGGCCAAGAUUUCAACUGAAAUUGUUGGAACAAGAUCUUCAGACUUUCACUGCUGUUCAUUCUUGCUUAUCCCGUGCAAUAUACAUACAUAGGAAUAGUAGGCACAAAGCAUAUUUAUCUUCCUGGGUCAAGAGCCAGGAUGAGAAUAAAGACACUCCUUGGUGUUGAUAACAACUGCUUUGUGGUUGAAACUGGAUCCUUGAUGUUCAGUGCCUGUUUUAUGUGGCGAGGUGGGAGGAGUCCUUAGGCUCCGUAUUUCUCUGUUAUCAGCUGGGAAGCAAGUGCUUGAGUUUCUUUCCUGGGGGAGACUAACUCCUGACAGGGCUCUCUCUCAUUUUAACAGAGAGCUAAGACAGCUUUUUAAGUAAGUAUGUUUUAUGAAGUUGGAGUCAGUGUCCUAAUCAUAGGAAAAAAUAAAAGCAACGAUAAAAGUCAAAUCAAUGAAAGCAGCUUUUUGGUUAUAUAUAGACAGACAGACAUUGAUAUCUAUAUAAUUUUUUUGCAAACCAAACAGGUUUUAGAGAGUGAAACUCAGUAGAUGCAACUGCUAUUCAUCGAUCUGUUUUCCCUUCCUGGACAGAAAGUCAGAUUAUGGAAACUGUUGUCCAAAAUAAAACAGAAGUUAAAUUUCAAAUCUAAUCCUUCAACGACAUAGUCACAAUGAGAACUGCAUUUUUCAUAAUCAUACAUUCUAACUGUAACUGCUCGAUCCUUGCUGUUUACCAUAUAAAAAAUAUUAUUUUCCAGAUCCUGGAAAAUAAUGGAAGAAAUACUAAUUACAGUGAGCUUUCUCUAAACUCCAAGAAGAACAGAGCAGAAAAACCAGUCAUUAAACAUCUCUAAUCACUUUGAUGUAUAGACUGUUUCAAGGCAGUGACAGCUUGAUAUUUCUAACAAGAACUGUAACAUGUAUCUUGGUCUAACUGUGACACUUUGAAUCUCCGCGUGGUUUUGAUUAAGUCACCUCAAAUCAGGUAGCUGAAUUAUGCCUAGGAAACAGCCGCACACAUGUUCAGCCAUGGUAGGUGCUUCUUAGUAAAAGUGCUGUUGAGAUAAUAGUUUUCAUCAAGGGUAGGGUUAAAUGAGUUUCACUUAGACAUUUUCAAUUGCUGUCUAUGAAGCAUGAAUCAGGAGGAGCCCUGCUUGGCUCUAGGCUCCCUGGGGAACAGGCAGACUUGGCAGUUCAAGGAAAAACUUGUUCAUAAAAUGAACAAAAGACAGAUUGAGACAGCCACAACGUCACUUUUAGAGUCACUUCUGAGAUUAGAAAUGCACUUUAGCUGAGCCUGUCACCUGCUCUCAAGCCUGUUUACUGUACACAUUACUAAGUGCAGUUAUUAUUGCUUGCUCUCUUUCUCAGAUCUGGGCGUACCUUUUCAAAAGACAUUAUGGAAAAUGCCUAAUGUAAACCUAGCUUGCUCCUCUGGAAGCCCGUCAGCUUUCUAUCUAUUGUUCAGCAGAGCACUGGUUAUCUGACACUGCAUACCGGGGAGGUUAAGUGAAUGUCAGCUCCUUUAAAGGCACAGGAAAUACUGACUGCACCAGAGAACAGCUGUCAUGCUUUUCCCUUUUGUUCUUGAACUGCAAGACUAUCCUUGCCUAAAUAUGAAAGAGAAACCUGCAAAACAAGAAUUGCAAGCUUCACUGAGAUAAAACAAGCCAAAUUAAUUCUUGAGGUAAGUACACAAAACAAAUGCUGUUAGAAGACGCUUAUCUGUUGGGGGAAGAUUUCAUUCAUUAGAGUGAAGAAUAGCUUAAGAUAUUUUUAUUAUAAGAUCACUGGAGUUGUAUUAGAGGCAAUUCACUUACAGUGGAUGAUCAUUUGUUUUGUCACCAGCAGUAACUCUUGAGUAAUACAUUUUCACUCAGUUGUUCCCUACUUCCAUGUCAGCUCAGGGAGAGUCCAUUGUGUGAUUCGAAGUUGCUCCAAAUAAAGCAAGCAGUUUUGAUUUCUUCAAGGGAAUUCACUGACUGUAUCGGUGACAGAACUUUGUAUGACAUUAAGUCUGCAGAUUACUGCUAAUGCUAAGUGUGGGUUUCCCGAUCUCACAGACAGCACUAGAAGUACAACCAGCUGGAAAAGUUUAGAGAAGUUAUUACAAUUGUUUUGUAAAUCUAAAAUUCCUGAGCCAUGGAAUCAUACAAUCAUGGAUUCCUAUCAUAAAGACUCACAUAGAAGCCACCUUCUGUUUUGAAGAAAUUAAUAAGCUGGUGAGAAAAAAUUGGAGGACGUGUG
rnacentral:lncRNA from 1 species